rnacentral:rRNA from 1 species
UGCCUCGNACUCUGGGAUAAGCCUGGGAAACUGGGUCUAAUACCGGAUAUGACCACAUGUCGCAUGGUGUGUGGNGGAAAGAUUUAUCNGNGCGAGAUGGGCCCGCGGCCUAUCAGCUUGUUGGUGGGGUAAUGGCCUACCAAGGCGACGACGGGUAGCCGGCCUGAGAGGGCGACCGGCCACACUGGGACUGAGACACGGCCCANACUCCUACGGGAGGCAGCAGUGG